rnacentral:lncRNA from 1 species
AUCCAGCAAGCAAAAUACGAACCUGGAAUGGAGAUUUGGCAUCCUACUAAGGAAAAAUGUCAACCAUCCAGAUCUAGAUUUAGAACAAGAUGGACCCUGAGAGGAGGGAUGACCACUUCUCAGAUGUGUUGCAGAGAGGAUUUUUCUUCUGGGGUGGAUAUAUUUGAAUGGCUUUUCAUGUCUCUUGACAUCUUGCAGUUUGGUAGCAUGUCACCAUUUUUAGGCUUUUACAAAAGAAAUUGUCAAUUUAUAUUUAGUUUGUGGACUAUUGUUUUAUUACCUGAACUGAAGGUAGAAAUACCACCUCAAACAUCUAGGAUGCGAGAAGAUCAAUUCUGAUAAUAAUGGUGUUGUAUAUUCAAAGAGGACCUACUACAGUAAAUUAAAUAUUUUCUUUUCAUUUCUUCCAAACAUAAAAAUACACAAUAAUCCUCAUGCACUUAGCAAACUCCUAUAUGUCAAAAGAAAUAUUUGCUUCUAGUAGUAUUAACUCAUUUAGCUUUUCUGUACUGUCAAUUAGAAUCUACAUUUAAACUAUACUAUAAAUGACUUUUGUCUCUGAUUUAAGACAGUAUAUCUGUCAACCCAUUUUUAUUACUAUCAAUCACCUAAUCACUUUUUAUACCUCUGUAUUUGUGGGUUUCAAAUAGUCUCUCCUGCUGUUUUGCAAUUCAUUUUCUUCUUAAGAAAAACAAAUGGGAAAAUGAAUGCCAUUUAUGAGAGCAUUGCUCAAAGUGGUGCAUUUUCUUUUCAUGAACCUCAGAUAUUCUGUGACAUGGAAAUGAAAGAUAAUGAAACUAAACUAUUUUUUCUUUCUCAUUUAAUUCUCCUUAAACUUGUGAAAACUUUUCACUGAUUAUUCCCUGUAGAAGAUGAGCAGGAAACCAACUGAAGUUGUAAUUUCCUCUGUUUUUGUUUAUUUCUAUAAAAUGAGUGAAUGAAUGAAUGAGGGGGAGGAAAGCUUAGGUACUUACUAUGCACAAAUCACUGGGGAUACAGAUACAACAGUUAAGAUAUAAUUAGCUGAUGAACUUGUCCUCAAGAAGAUGACGUGCUGACAGGAAAGGACAUCUCAUAUAAAGAAGAGGUGACAGGGGAGAUAUUUUUAUUUUUAAAGCUACAGAUAUGUACCUGAAAUGAUAGUGCCAUCAUAAAACAAAAACCCAAGCUGUAAAACUCUAUGCCUACGUGGAAAGCAGAUUGCAAACCAAAAUGUUUGCCUGAUUAAUUAAAAA